rnacentral:lncRNA from 1 species
AGAAAGUAAAUUUCAUUCAUAAAAGGGAAACACACAAUAAUUAUACAUUAAAUUGUUGUUAAAACAACAUUAUUCAAAAUAACGAGAAACAUAAUAUUAUACAUAUAUGGCAUAAGUGGAGACUAUUUCAGCAGUCUCACUAUAUAGCAUUUCACUUUUCAGUAAAAGCGGUUUCAUCCAAAUCAUCAAAGAAGUCAGAAGCGUCAAGGUGUGUCGUACCCUCGAAGUGUUCUGUGAAAUUCACUUCUUUCCCUUUUCCUUUUAGAGAUUCUUUGUAUAAUUUACAAAGAUGUUCAGGGGUUCGACAGACAUGAGCCCAAUGCCCUUUUGAUCCACAUCUAUAACAGAUGUUAUCACGUUUUUGGCUGGUACUUCCUUGGGAUUCUUUCCCUUUCAGAUUUUGCUCA